ensembl:ncRNA Y73B3A.23 ncRNA
CAUGUGACUAGCGAUCCUCUUCGGGGUUGAUUGUUUUUCUUAGUGGAGCAUCGGGGGCUUUCUAAAAAGUUGACUCCGGUCCACCUUGUCGUAUACCAACAGUCUGUGUGGCCCUCUACCGCUAUUUGAGAUGCCCGGGCUGGAUUGCAUAUUCCUUAUCCUUCCGUAGAUCCUAUGGGUCCGUGACGGUUAGGACAAACCAUGCAAAUUACAAAUAUCCUAAAA